UCCAAGCCGCCCGAGGGCUUCUGGGAGGGAAAGGACCAGGGGGCCCAACCCCGCUUACGGACUCCGUAGUUCCCGGUGUGCCCGCCGCACUGCCUGCUGGGGCUUGAAGUCCACACCACCCAGACACGAGAGCUCUGCUCCAAAUUUAAGAAUUAUAUGCUGGAGACGUGGGAUUCGGUAAAGAUGCUGAAAAAAUACCGAAGUGUGUAUCCAAGGAACUCUGUGGAACUUGGGUGCUUCAUGCCCUCCUGAUUUGAAGAAUAAAAUCCUUGGACAACAACAGAAGGCAAGAGUAAAGAGGAGGGGAUCUGAUAGCAGGAACCCCCAUUUUUUUGAGGCUUAUAUGGUUUAUUAAUAUGAUCAUUGACCAAAAUCUGUUAUAUAGACUUUGAAAUGGUACCAAAACCAUUGGUCAAAAUCUGUGUUAAACAGGUAUUGAGAAAGUAUCAAGGAUAUUGACUGUACUUUAGCUGUCUGAGUUUGAAUAAUUUUUUGUCACUUUUUGUGGGGUGGGUACUGGGGACUGAACUCAGGGGCACUGACCACUGAGCCACAUCUCCACCUAGGGGUCUUUUUGUCACUUUCUUCUGGGUUUAGCCCCACCUUCUAUUUUCCCAGAUUCAUACCCACCAGUAAGCUUUAUGGUCUUUACAUUUGAAAGAGGCCCUGAUGGGGCCCAAUAAUGUUUCCAGCAGUUAGAUUCUAGGUGUGAUCCUUACAUAUGAACAAGAUCUUAAUUGAAUCUCAUUACUGGGAUUGCCUCACAGUUUAUGAUCUAUUCUUAUUCAUUAUUGUGUCAGUUUUACAGAUGAAUAAACUGAGGCUUCAGGAGGUUACGUGACUUGCCCAGGAUAUUACAAGUCCAUGUCUGAGUCAGACUUGAAUUUUUUUUUUAAUUGUUUGGUGCUGGGAAUUGAACCCAGGGCUUCAAGUAUGCUAAGCACAUGCUCUACUGCUGAGCUACAUUCCCAGCCCUGAAUCAGAUUUUAAGUCCAGACUUAUUUGAUAUUAAUGAAAUACAAGGACAAAAGAUUAGUUUAGUUUUAACUAUCUUGAACUUCAGAUAAAUAAACCACACACUUAUAGGUACUCUGUGUCUAGUUCCUUUUGUAUGACAGCCUUUUGGAGAUUUGUCCACGUUAUUCCUUUUUAUAGCUGAGUAUGAAAAUCCACAAUUUAAUUAUCCAUCCUCUUGUUGCUAGACGUUUGGAUUGUUGCCAGUUUGAGACAAUUAGGAACAAGUCUGCUAUGAACACUCUUGUUCAAGUUUAAAGAAAAAACAAAA